rfam:Schistosoma haematobium scaffold4830_1, whole genome shotgun sequence.
GUCUAGCUGAAGAGUCCCAAAUAGGAUGAAACGUGUAUCCUGGAU